CUGCCACUGUAAUUCCCUUAGGGGCUUUGUAGAUGCAGCGGGACGAGCUGUGUGCCAAAGGGCAACAGAGGAGAGGCGAGCGGAGCGCUGUAAGAAGGUGCAAAGCGGGAUAUUGGCACCAGAGCUGAUUCGGGCAAGGUG